rnacentral:rRNA from 1 species
GAGCGGUCCCUUCGGGGAUAGCGGCGGACGGGUGAGUAACACGUAGGCAACCUGCCUGCAAGACCGGGAUAACUGUCGGAAACGAUAGCUAAGACCGGAUAGCUGGUUCUCUCGCAUGAGAGGAUCAUGAAACACGGGGCAACCUGUGGCUUGCAGAUGGGCCUGCGGCGCAUUAGCUAGUUGGUGAGGUAACGGCUCACCAAGGCGACGAUGCGUAGCCGACCUGAGAGGGUGAACGGCCACACUGGGACUGAGACACGGCCCAGACUCCUACGGGAGGCAGCAGUAGGGAAUCUUCCGCAAUGGACGCAAGUCUGACGGAGCAACGCCGCGUGAGUGAUGAAGGUUUUCGGAUCGUAAAGCUCUGUUGCCCUAGACGAACAGCAAGGAGAGUAACUGCUCUUUGUGUGACGGUAUAGGAGAAGAAAGCCCCGGCUAACUACGUGCCAGCAGCCGCGGUAAU